rnacentral:rRNA from 1 species
CGGCGCGACGAUAGCUCGUUGAAUGCACCAAUUCCCAAUGGAUCAUUAAAGUUAACCAACCUUGCGCGUGGUUGGUAUUCGGAUGGGUGACCCUCUGGGCAAUCGCCUGCUUCUCGCUUU